CGUGACUCUCGAUUUCUCUUCGUCUUAUUGAAACCCAAACCACCGAUACUGUGAGACUCAGCCCCAAUGCCUCUCUCUCCCUCUGUUUACAUCAUCUCGACCUUAACCUGAUCUGCAAUUUCUAGCCAGAUCUGUCGUUUCUCUUCUUGAUCUCCUCCACCGUGCCUUAGAAACGGUGGUUUCGAUAAUUCUCUCUCUCUCUCUCUCCACCCUCCACCAUCCAUGGCUAGAGAAGCUACCUAGCUCUGACUUAAUUUCUUUUUUUCCUUUUUUUAUGUUUUAAUUUGUUCCAGUCAAUUUUUGGUCGGGAUUGUUUUAUGAUUUUCUGUUUCUGAGUCUAGGUUUAAUUAUUUGUUUUUCUUGAAUAAGGUGUUGGAGGCCUCGAUGGCUGAAGCCUCUGCUCAGUGAGAACUUCUUUGUUCAGUGCAAAGUUACACGCAAAUUUCCACUAAGAGCAGUUUAAUAAAUGGGUUUAGAUUUUUUUUCUUGCAUAUCAUGGUUUUCUACAGCGUUGAGUUUAGCUUUACUCAAAUAUUUUCCUCUAUGACCCUCAUUUUCUUAGUUUCUUAUAAUUUUAUUUUUCAAGGUGUCUACAAGAAGAACACGAAGAAAACCCUUACUCGAUCUCCAUUGCAGUAAAUCUCCAUCACUGGUUGAUCUGUGUAGCUGCUGCACAUAUCCUCAAUGAUGCAUCAUUUAAGGUGAUCUUGCUAGAAUCAAAGGAUAUAUUUGGCAGUCGUAUUCAUACAGACUACUCAUUUCGUUGUCUAGUAGAAAUGGGAGCAUCAUGCUUAAUAUUGUUGUUCUUCAUUAUCAAAAUCAAAAGCUUGUACAAAAGUUAGAAGCUCAGAAGAUAAGAGUAUUUUUCCAAACAAAUUCUCUCAACUAAAGCAGGCACAACAACCGUUUGAUUUGACAUUAGCAGUGAUCAAUAAGUCACUAGAUAAGCUUGUGAAUGGUUUGGAAUCAUUUUCUAUUUGAACAAGAGAUUCAAGUAGUGAACGAGAUGGCAAACAUAUGCUGGUUAUGGACGUCUGUCAGCAUUAAUGAGUUCUUGAAGCCUGCCCAAGGAGAAAGGUAUUACAGCCCAGGUAGUCGUGGCAGCCUCAUUCUAGGAGAAUAUUGCAACACAACUUUCCUAAAAGAUCGGAUGAUUCAGCUUGGUGUAGAUAUAGAUCAACUCAAGCAACAGUAUAAAAAAUUCAAUAUCCUCUCAAUAAAUCCUGCAGAAAAGUGCACAACAUGCGAAAUUAUGUAUUAAACUAUGGUUCAUAUAUGAUGUGUACCAUUUUAGUUUGGAAACUUGUAUCAAACACAGUUGACAUUAGGCAUGUAUGGUACUUUAUUUUGUAAACUUGUAUCAAACUUUGUUUUUGUUUCUAUACA